UGAGGAAUAUUGGUCAAUGGCCGGAAGGCUGAACCAGCCAUGCCGCGUGAAGGUCAGUGCCCUAUGGGCGUUAAACUUCUUUUGUGCGGGAGCAAUAAGGUCCACGUGUGGGCCGACGAGAGUACCGUACGAAUAAGCAUCGGCUAACUCCGUGCCAGCAGCCGCGGUAAUACGGGGGAUGCAAGCGUUAUCCGGAUUUAUUGGGUUUAAAGGGUGCGUAGGCUGUGAGGUAAGUCAGCGGUGAAAUGCCCCCGCUCAACGGGGUGAAGUGCCAUUGAUACUGCCUUGCUGGAAUGCGGAUGCCGUGGGAGGAAUGUGUGGUGUAGCGGUGAAAUGCAUAGAUAUCACACAGAACACCGAUUGCGAAGGCAUCUCACGAAUCCGCGAUUGACGCUGAUGCACGAAAGCGUGGGUAUCAAACAGG
rnacentral:rRNA from 1 species